UACAUGAAAAAGAAAUUCAUGUCAACCAAUCAUCUUAAAGAUCUUGAGCGGCCGGUAGAAAAUCUCUUGAAUUGACGAAUUAUUGAGCUUUUCUUUUCUUAUUUCAUGCAAGCUAUAAGCUGAUAACAUUUUCUUAAUAAAAAAGACAGAAAUUUUGUUUCAGCAACGACCCAACAAGCAAUUACAAAUUUUAACUAUCUUUUGUAAGUUGAACAGUAAUUGCUUAUACUAUUAACUAGGGGCAGAAUGGGUGAACGUUACAAUAUCUUCUCUCAGCUAGAGCACUUGCAGUCCAAGUACAUAGGCACUGGACAUGCAGAUACUUCAAAGUUUGAAUGGAUUGUAAACCAACACAGAGACAGCCUUGCAUCCUUCAUGGCUCAUCAUGAUAUGCUGAAUUUCUUUGCCAUUGCUGAGAAUGAAUCCAAAGCGCGCAUACGUUUCAGUUUAAUUGAGAAAAUGUUAACUCCUACUGGUCCACCUCCUGAAAGAGCAGAAGACUGAAUAUUCAUGUAUUUCAUUCUGUCAUUUGUAAAUAGUUGAAGAAGGCAUUAAAUUUAAUAUCAUUAAAA